rnacentral:lncRNA from 10 species
UGUGAUGGUGUGCGCCUGUAGUCCCAGCUCCUCAGGAGGUUGAGGUGGGAGGAUUGCUUGAUCCUGGGUGGUCGAGGUUGCAGUGAACUAUGAUUGUGCCACUGCACUCCAGCCUGGGUGACAGAUAAUGUCUCUUUUAGAGACAGUAGGGAGGGUCUUUUAGGGUCGCAAGACCAUUCGGGGGGAAAGAACUGCCUCUUUGACAAAUGGCGAUGGGACUGAGAACCACAUGCAAAAGAAUGUUGACCACCUGACCACACCAUAUAUGCAGAAAUUAAUUCAAAUUGGAUGAAAGUUUUUUUUUUUUGAGACUUUGUCUCAAAAAAAAAAAAAAAGAAAAGCUAAAUGACAUUGGCCAGGCAAUGGUGCUCUUGGUUUUUUUUUUUUUUUACUCUUAGGUAUAUACCCAAGAGAAUGGAAAAUAUACAUCCACACAAACAAAAACCUGUACAUCAAUGUUCACAGCAGCUCUAUUCACAAUAGCCAAAAGACGGAAACAAAUAAAAAUGUGGUCUAUCCAUACAAUGGGGUAUUAUCCAGCCAUAGGAAGGAAUGAAGUACUUCAGGAGCUCAAGACCAGCCUGGGCAACAUAGCAAGAGCUGUCGCUACUAAAAAUUUUAGCCCAAUAUGGUGGAGUGUGCCUGUAGUCCCAGCUAUUUGGGAGGUAGGAGGAUCACUUGAACCCAGGAGAUGGAGGCUGCAGUGAACUAGGAUCGCACCACUGCACUCCAGCCUGAAUGACAGAAUAAGAUCCUCUUGAAAAAACAAGCAACAAACCAGGCGCGGUGGCUCACACCUGUAAUCCCGGCACUUUGGGAGGCGGAGGCAGGUGGAUCACGAGGUCAAGAGCUCGAGACCAUCCUGGCCAACAUGGUGAAACCCCGUCUCUACUAAAAAUACAAAAAUUAGCUGGGUGUGGUGGCAUGUGCCUAUAGUCCCGGCUACUCGGGAGGCUGAAGCAGAAGAAUCGCUUGAACCUGGGAGGCAGAGGUUGCAGUGAGCCGAGAUUGCGCCACUGCAGUCCAGCCUGGUAACAGAGCGAGACUCCGUCUCAAACAAACAAAAGCAGCAAAAGAGAUAAAUGUCCAGAACGGGCAAAUCCAGAGACAGAAAGUGGAUUCGUGGGGCUUGGAGCUGGGGAACUGGGAGAAAUAGGGGCAGACUGCUGAUGGGUACAGGGUAUCUUUUUAGAGCUAUAAAAAUGCUCUGGAAUCAGGUCAUGGUAACGGUUGCACAACUGUGAUACACUAAAAGCAACUGUAUACCUUAAAAUGGGGAAUUUUAUGGUGUGCUAAUUACAUAACAUUUUUUAAGAAGAAUUGCCUAAUUACAACUGUGGAUGCUCUGCUGUGGUUGUGGAGUGCAAUGAGGAGGCAGGGACGUCCCUGAGGAGGUCAGUACUUUCGAGUGGGAAAUAGCCCAAUUCUACAUGUUAGUGAGGAGUUCAAGUCCUCCUCAAUCACCGGGCGGGUCAAGCGAAACGUGUCUGCAGGCUGCCCUGGCUCAUGGCCCUGCCUUGGGCUCCUGGGGAGGAACAUAGAGUGAGAAGGGCCGGGCUGCCAUCUCGGCUCUGGGGCAGGUGGGGAGAGGUUGCUGCUUGGGCUUUGAGAGCAGCCAGGGAGGUAAGUAAACCCAGUGAGGAGAGGCCUCCUUAAAGCAGACAGCAGUGCUGGGAAGGCAGGUCGGCCACCAGGCCACGUCCCGGGACAGCACACUGGCCACCUGGGUGUCCUUCCCCAAGUGCAUUCCACAACACAAUCUGGGUGCAAGGAACAUUUUAUUCCAUAACUGUCUCCACCGAAGCCGCAGAAGCAAAGCCAGGAGCAGAAUC